rnacentral:rRNA from 1 species
CAGUAGCCGCGGGAAUACGGAGGGAGCUAGCGUUGUUCGGAAUUACUGGGCGUAAAGCGCACGUAGGCGGUUAUUCAAGUCAGAGGUGAAAGCCCGGGGCUCAACCCCGGAACUGCCUUUGAAACUAGAUGACUGGAAUCUUGGAGAGGUCAGUGGAAUUCCGAGUGUAGAGGUGAAAUUCGUAGAUAUUCGGAAGAACACCAGUGGCGAAGGCGACUGACUGGACAAGUAUUGACGCUGAGGUGCGAAAGCGUGGGGAGCAAACAGGAUUAGAUACCCCUGUAGUCCCUGUCUCUUAUAC